AUUCAGAUGAUGAGUCCGAAAUAGGACGAAAUGUGCAUCUUGAAU
rnacentral:hammerhead_ribozyme from 1 species